rnacentral:rRNA from 1 species
ACGAACGCUGGCGGCGUGCUUAACACAUGCAAGUCGAACGGAAAGGCCCUGCUUUUGUGGGGUGCUCGAGUGGCGAACGGGUGAGUAACACGUGAGUAACCUGCCCUUGACUUUGGGAUAACUUCAGGAAACUGGGGCUAAUACCGGAUAGGAGCUCCUGCUGCAUGGUGGGGGUUGGAAAGUUUCGGCGGUUGGGGAUGGACUCGCGGCUUAUCAGCUUGUUGGUGGGGUAGUGGCUUACCAAGGCUUUGACGGGUAGCCGGCCUGAGAGGGUGACCGGCCACAUUGGGACUGAGAUACGGCCCAGACUCCUACGGGAGGCAGCAGUGGGGAAUAUUGCACAAUGGGCGGAAGCCUGAUGCAGCAACGCCGCGUGCGGGAUGACGGCCUUCGGGCUGUAAACCGCUUUCGCCUGUGACGAAGCGUGAGUGACGGUAAUGGGUAAAGAAGCACCGGCUAACUACGU